GGGGGUGGAGGGAGGAGAAGGACUGGGAUGGCAUUCGCCAUUUAAUAACUGACUCCAUUCUCAUGGAAAUUAUGGGGUUGGAAGCAGAGAUCAUUUCAUCCAGUUCCUCCAUUGUACGGAUGGGAAACCAAGGACCAAGGACUGAGCAACAGAGCAAGUUGAGGAAAAAGGAAAGCAGAGAGAAGCAGAGAUGUACCACUGGAUGCUGCCUGAAGGCUUUGCACGGUUCCUGGAACCGAAAGACUUUUUAAAAGGAGGCAAAGUCAAGUCUUGUGAAAUACUCUUCCGAUGAACCCCCUGCAGCUAACUAAGGGAAGUGAUUUCUUCUGUUAAAUGUCUCCAGCAGCGGAGUUUCAAAAGUUCAGUCCUGUGUGCUGUUGGACCCUUCCAAGCCUGGAAAGCUCUAGACUCACAGGCGAGAAAUAGCAUCUGACACAUGGCGGGCAAUCAGUAAAUGCUACCUGAACUGGA